ACGCUGGCGGCAGGCCUAACACAUGCAAGUCGAGCGGUAGAGAGAAGCUUGCUUCUCUUGAGAGCGGCGGACGGGUGAGUAAUGCCUAGGAAUCUGCCUGGUAGUGGGGGAUAACGUUCGGAAACGGACGCUAAUACCGCAUACGUCCUACGGGAGAAAGCAGGGGACCUUCGGGCCUUGCGCUAUCAGAUGAGCCUAGGUCGGAUUAGCUAGUUGGUGGGGUAAUGGCUCACCAAGGCGACGAUCCGUAACUGGUCUGAGAGGAUGAUCAGUCACACUGGAACUGAGACACGGUCCAGACUCCUACGGGAGGCAGCAGUGGGGAAUAUUGGACAAUGGGCGAAAGCCUGAUCCAGCCAUGCCGCGUGUGUGAAGAAGGUCUUCGGAUUGUAAAGCACUUUAAGUUGGGAGGAAGGGUUGUAGAUUAAUACUCUGCAAUUUUGACGUUACCGACAGAAUAAGCACCGGCUAACUCUGUGCCAGCAGCCGCGGUAAUACAGAGGGUGCAAGCGUUAAUCGGAAUUACUGGGCGUAAAGCGCGCGUAGGUGGUUUGUUAAAUUGGAUGUGAAAUCCCCGGGCUCAACCUGGGAACUGCAUUCAAAACUGACUGACUAGAGUAUGGUAGAGGGUGGUGGAAUUUCCUGUGUAGCGGUGAAAUGCGUAGAUAUAGGAAGGAACACCAGUGGCGAAGGCGACCACCUGGACUAAUACUGACACUGAGGUGCGAAAGCGUGGGGAGCAAAC
rnacentral:rRNA from 1 species